GAUGAAGAACGUAGCGAAAUGCGAUAAGUAAUGUGAAUUGCAGAAUUCAGUGAAUCAUCGAAUCUUUGAACGCACAUUGCGCCCGCCAGUAUUCUGGCGGGCAUGCCUGUUCGAGCGUCAUUUCAACCAUCAAGCCCCCGGCUUGUGUUGGGGACCUGCGGCUGCCGCAGGCCCUGAAAAGCAGUGGCGGGCUCGCUGUCACACCGAGCGUAGUAGCAUACAUCUCGCUCUGGGCGUGCUGCGGGUUCCGGCCGUUAAACCACCUUCAUAACCCAAGGUUGACCUCGGAUCAGGUAGGAAGACCCGCUGAACUUAAGCAUAUCAAUAAGCGGAGAA
rnacentral:misc_RNA from 1 species